AGCUGAGCUAUCCCGACCAUUCCCAGCGUAGCAUCCCAUCCUCGUUUUAUUAGUUUAUUAGAUGACUGGGGUCUAUGUCAAUUAAAGAGACAAGGGGGAUUACAGAGUUUUCUCCAAGUCCUGUAUUUUCUUGAAUCUUCAAAAAAAAAGACGACUUUAUAAGUUUCAGUAUUAGGUAUUCUUUGCUAAAUUUGGAUUUGUAUUCUAUAUCACACGGGAUACGAGAAAGUCAUUAAGAUAAAGAAAUUUGUAACCGAGGGGGUAGGAGAAAAAUUUUGGAGUCAAUAGCUUUUUGGGGAUAGAGGGACUUGAACCCUCACGACUUUUUUAAAGUCGACGGAUUUUCCUCUUACUAUAAAUUGCAUUGUUGCCGGUAUUGACAUGUAGAAUGGGACUCUAUCUUUAUUCUUGUCCGAUUGAUCAGUUCGUUAAAAGGUAUAUCGGACUAUGGAGUGAAUGGUUUGAUAAAUAAAUAUUCGAUUUUUCUUCAAUGUGGAAUCAAUUCACACUAAUUCUUCCAUUUUUCAUAUAAAAAAUAGAGAUUCGUGCCAUCAGUAAUCAUGAUAUAGUAUUCAAUAGAUAUGUUUAUCUUUGAUCCUCUCUGAAGUUUCGGCGGAAAGAUUCCUCUACCAUCGCGGUCAACCCCAUUUGUUAGAACAGCUUCCAUUGAGUCUCUGCACCUAUCCUUUUUUUUUCGUUUUCGAAACCUUUCUUUUGAGAAAACGGGAUUUGGCUCAGGAUUGCCCAUUUUUAUUAAUUCCGGGGUUUCUCUGAAUUUGAAAGUUAUCACUUAGUAGGUUUCCAUAC
rnacentral:misc_RNA from 1 species